rnacentral:rRNA from 1 species
UACGGGAGGCAGCAGUGGGGAAUAUUGCACAAUGGGCGAAAGCCUGAUGCAGCUAUGCCGCGUGUAUGAAGAAGGCCUUAGGGUUGUAAAGUACUUUCAUCGGGGAGGAAAAAACAAAACUAAUAAUUUUAUUUCUUGACGUUACCCGAAAAAGAAGCACCGGCUAACUCCGUGCCAGCAGCCGCGGUAAUACGGAGGGUGCUAGCGUUAAUCAGAAUUACUGGGCGUAAAGAGCACGUAGGUGGUUUUUUUAAGUCAGAUGUGAAAUCCCUGGGCUUAACCUAGGAACUGCAUUUUGAAACUGAAAUACUAGAGUAUCGUAGAGGGAGGUAGAAUUCUAGGUGUAGCGGUGAAAUGCGUAGAUAUCUGGAGGAAUACCUGCGGCGAAAGCGGCCUCCUAAACGAAUACUGACACUGAGGUGCGAAAGCGUGGGGAGCAAACAGGGAUUAGAUACCCGU